rnacentral:misc_RNA from 1 species
AAUAAUUACAAUACAAUACUAUUUUUAAGUCUUAAAGCCAAACAAAAUCAACACAAAUUUUGGGAAGUUCUUCAAAAUCCUCAGCUAAAUUGAAGUCAGUGUUGAAAUUAUUUGAGGAAUUGUUGAAUACCCUUUUGUUGGAAACUCCUUUGGCAGCACAAGAAUUAGCAACUGAAGAAGAAGAAGAAGAAGUUAAAUAGUCAGUAUUUUCAUGUCUAAGUAGCUCAGCUAACAAAAGAACAAGAGAAGCCAUUUGAUA